GGAGAGGUGUCCGAGCGGCUGAAGGAGCACGCUUGGAAAGCGUGUGUACUGGUGACAGUACCGUGGGUUCGAAUCCCACCCUCUCCG
rnacentral:tRNA from 1 species